CUGCAAGUCGAGCGGAAACGAGUUAUCUGAACCUUCGGGGAACGAUAACGGCGUCGAGCGGCGGACGGGUGAGUAAUGCCUAGGAAAUUGCCCUGAUGUGGGGGAUAACCAUUGGAAACGAUGGCUAAUACCGCAUGAUGCCUACGGGCCAAAGAGGGGGACCUUCGGGCCUCUCGCGUCAGGAUAUGCCUAGGUGGGAUUAGCUAGUUGGUGAGGUAAGGGCUCAC
rnacentral:rRNA from 1 species